CGAUAACAUACCUCCUUAGAGGCAGCAUAUAUUAUCUGUUAAUAUGUUUGUGUGUAUGUGUGCUCGCUUCGGCGACCUAUAAAAGUCAUUGGCAGGACAUCAUCGCACAGUAGAUCAGUGAUCAGUGCUAGUGCUAGACGGAGAUAAUUAAACAGACUAAAUCAACAUGAAACUGUGCACGAUUAUCUUUGGAGUGUUGGUGGCGUGUGUGGCGAGCCUCGCGGCUGAGAAUGGUCCUCUCCUGACUAUUCUGCAGCCUGAGGACCAGCAGGUUCAGCAGGUUCAAGAGGUCAUGCUCGUCGACCCCCAGGGAGUCAGACAGAAGAGGAGUCUCCUUCUUGGUGGUCUCGGCGCUGGUGCUCUCGGCAUUGGAGCUCUCGGUCUCGGUGCUGGCCUGGUCGGCGCUGGUCUCAUCGGUGCUAAGGCUGGAUUCAUUGGCGGUGCCAUCGCCGGCAAAGCUUUCUCCGGUAGAGGAUACGGCGGCGGCUACGGAGGUGGCUACGGACACGGCUACGGGGGCGGCUACGGGGGUGGCUACGGAUACUAUGGCGGUGGUGGCUACGGACACGGUGGCUACAAGCGUUACUACUACUAAACUCCUAUGACUAACACAAACAACUAAACCUAUGACACUAAUAUAUUCCAACACUUAUACACGGACCUACUCAAAAAAAAAACCAAAUAUUUAUCUGAUACAAAUAUCAAUAUCACAACUCCUAUUUGAUCACGAUACACGUACUUUGUACAUAAAACUCAGGAGGGGUUCCAAUGUACUCAGACGAACAGCCCAAGGUCUCGUUUGAGGAGAAAAAACCGAUUCAAAUAUAAGACAAGUCUACUACCAGCCUUCAUACGUAGUGUCUCAGGUGUCUGAACCCUGGUGCUGAGCCAAACGACUGAUUAGCCAACUGUUAAGAUGAUUAUUUAAGUGUAUGUGAUUAUGAAUGGAGUGAAUUUGUAUAAAACAAUAAAUUUUACAAAUUAA